UGUUCCCUUGAAACCUAUCAUUAGAGGAAGGAGAAGUCGUAACAAGGUUUCCGUAGGUGAACUGCGGAAGGAUCAUUGUCGAUGCCCAACGGAACAAGACAGACGGAAGCGAACUCGUGAACCCUCGGAGUUCUUGGCCCGCACGUCCGGGCGGCGGUCCGCACGCGUCGGGCCACGACGAACCAAAUCUCGGCGCAGGACGCGCCAAGCAACUCUGGAAGCUUCGAUCGCGGCGUCCUCUUCCCCGUCGGGCCGGAGGGCACGCGUCGAACACUUACAAGUCAGUACGACUCUCGGCAACGGAUAUCUCGGCUCUCGCAUCGAUGAAGAACGUAGCGAAAUGCGAUACUUGGUGUGAAUUGCAGAAUCCCGUGAACCAUCGAGUCUUUGAACGCAAGUUGCGCCCGAGGCCUUCCGGUCGAGGGCACAUCUGCUUUGGGCGUUAAACAACUCGUCUCCCCACCGCCUUCUCCCGGCAGGCUCCGAUCGAGGAGUCUGUCCGAGACGAGGGCAGGUCGGGCGGAGUCUGGUCGUCCGUGUGCCCGCAGAGCGCACGCGGUUGGCUGAAAAGCCCGGGCCACGGGCUGAGUGCGGCUCAACGGGUGGUGGUUGUGCGCCCUCGCAAGGCCGCGAUUGUCAGCGCGUUGCGCCGCUCGCUUCUCGGUUGCCCGGCAAGUACCCGACACCAUCGAAACGUCCAGUCGGCGGGAUCGAUUCGAAUUGCAACCCCAAGUCAGGUGGGACUACCCGCCGAGCUUAAGCAAU
rnacentral:rRNA from 1 species